CCAUUACAUUGUACAACUAAAACAAACAAAGUGAAAAAGAAUGAAGAGAAAAAGUCCGCUGCCGGAAUUGAAAGAGGAGAGAAAUUAUGCACAAGGAACUUUGCCCUGUAUACUCUAAGCCGAUCUACUGCUAUUCAAAGCAGGAGUUGGGGUGCUCAUGGGACCAGUAGAGCCAUGAGGUUCACGGAGAGGCAAGUUAAGCUUGCGAAGCCUCUCUUCAUCUUGAGAAACAAGGACUUCCCACUGGAGUUCUCCAGGAUAGCGUUCCUUGCGUUGCUUAAAGGCGACAAGCUUGGUUGGAUUAGAAGGGUCGGUGACCAAGACUUCGCGCUCUAGAGGCUCAAGUCGGUUAGCCAAAGUAGAGAGGUAGACGCUUCCCAAGAGAACGACCACGGUAACACCUUGGGCGUACAUUCUUGCCUGGAUAAGUUUUUGAGGAGCAGUAUCAUAACGAUUACGGGAGGCAGCGUACAAACUAAGACCCAUGGUGGAUGCCCAAGUACCAAG